rnacentral:rRNA from 1 species
UAGGGAAUCUUCGGCAAUGGGGGCAACCCUGACCGAGCAACGCCGCGUGAGUGAAGAAGGUUUUCGGAUCGUAAAGCUCUGUUGUAAGAGAAGAACGUGUGUGAGAGUGGAAAGUUCACACAGUGACGGUAACUUACCAGAAAGGGACGGCUAACUACGUGCCAGCAGCCGCGGUAAUACGUAGGUCCCGAGCGUUGUCCGGAUUUAUUGGGCGUAAAGCGAGCGCAGGCGGUUUAAUAAGUCUGAAGUUAAAGGCAGUGGCUUAACCAUUGUUCGCUUUGGAAACUGUUAAACUUGAAUGCAGAAGGGGAGAGUGGAAUUCCAUGUGUAGCGGUGAAAUGCGUAGAUAUAUGGAGGAACACCGGUGGCGAAAGCGGCUCUCUGGUCUGUAACUGACGCUGAGGCUCGAAAGCGUGGGGAGCAAACAGG